rnacentral:rRNA from 1 species
CCUACGGGAGGCAGCAGUGGGGAAUUUUGGACAAUGGGCGAAAGCCUGAUCCAGCAAUGCCGCGUGAGUGAAGAAGGCCUUCGGGUUGUAAAGCUCUUUUGUCAGGGAAGAAACGGUGAGAGCUAAUAUCUCUUGCUAAUGACGGUACCUGAAGAAUAAGCACCGGCUAACUACGUGCCAGCAGCCGCGAUAAUACGUAGGGUGCAAGCGUUAAUCGGAAUUACUGGGCGUAAAGCGUGCGCAGGCGGUUUUGUAAGUCUGAUGUGAAAUCCCCGGGCUCAACCUGGGAAUUGCAUUGGAGACUGCAAGGCUAGAAUCUGGCAGAGGGGGGUAGAAUUCCACGUGUAGCAGUGAAAUGCGUAGAUAUGUGGAGGAACACCGAUGGCGAAGGCAGCCCCCUGGGUCAAGAUUGACGCUCAUGCACGAAAGCGUGGGGAGCAAACAGGAUUAGAUACCCUGGUAGUCCACGACCUAACGAUGUCUACUAGUUGUCGGUCGUUAUUAGUAUGUACGCNGCUACGCGUG